rnacentral:rRNA from 1 species
UUAAGCGACUAAGCGUACACGGUGGAUGCCCUGGCAGUCAGAGGCGAUGAAGGACGUGCUAAUCUGCGAUAAGCGUCGGUAAGGUGAUAUGAACCGUUAUAACCGGCGAUUUCCGAAUGGGGAAACCCAGUGUGUUUCGACACACUAUCAUUAACUGAAUCCAUAGGUUAAUGAGGCGAACCGGGGGAACUGAAACAUCUAAGUACCCCGAGGAAAAGAAAUCAACCGAGAUUCCCCCAGUAGCGGCGAGCGAACGGGGAGGAGCCCAGAGCCUGAAUCAGUGUGUGUGUUAGUGGAAGCGUCUGGAAAGGCGCGCGAUACAGGGUGACAGCCCCGUACACAAAAAUGCACAUGCUGUGAGCUCGAUGAGUAGGGCGGGACACGUGGUAUCCUGUCUGAAUAUGGGGGGACCAUCCUCCAAGGCUAAAUACUCCUGACUGACCGAUAGUGAACCAGUACCGUGAGGGAAAGGCGAAAAGAACCCCGGCGAGGGGAGUGAAAAAGAACCUGAAACCGUGUACGUACAAGCAGUGGGAGCACAGAGCAAUCUGUGUGACUGCGUACCUUUUGUAUAAUGGGUCAGCGACUUAUAUUCUGUAGCAAGGUUAACCGAAUAGGGGAGCCGAAGGGAAACCGAGUCUUAGCUGGGCGUUAAGUUGCAGGGUAUAGACCCGAAACCCGGUGAUCUAGCCAUGGGCAGGUUGAAGGUUGGGUAACACUAACUGGAGGACCGAACCGACUAAUGUUGAAAAAUUAGCGGAUGACUUGUGGCUGGGGGUGAAAGGCCAAUCAAACCGGGAGAUAGCUGGUUCUCCCCGAAAGCUAUUUAGGUAGCGCCUCGUGAAUUCAUCUCCGGGGGUAGAGCACUGUUUCGGCAAGGGGGUCAUCCCGACUUACCAACCCGAUGCAAACUGCGAAUACCGGAGAAUGUUAUCACGGGAGACACACGGCGGGUGCUAACGUCCGUCGUGAAGAGGGAAACAACCCAGACCGCCAGCUAAGGUCCCAAAGUCAUGGUUAAGUGGGAAACGAUGUGGGAAGGCCCAGACAGCCAGGAUGUUGGCUUAGAAGCAGCCAUCAUUUAAAGAAAGCGUAAUAGCUCACUGGUCGAGUCGGCCUGCGCGGAAGAUGUAACGGGGCUAAACCAUGCACCGAAGCUGCGGCAGCGACACUGUGUGUUGUUGGGUAGGGGAGCGUUCUGUAAGCCUGUGAAGGUGUGCUGUGAGGCAUGCUGGAGGUAUCAGAAGUGCGAAUGCUGACAUAAGUAACGAUAAAGCGGGUGAAAAGCCCGCUCGCCGGAAGACCAAGGGUUCCUGUCCAACGUUAAUCGGGGCAGGGUGAGUCGACCCCUAAGGCGAGGCCGAAAGGCGUAGUCGAUGGGAAACAGGUUAAUAUUCCUGUACUUGGUGUUACUGCGAAGGGGGGACGGAGAAGGCUAUGUUGGCCGGGCGACGGUUGUCCCGGUUUAAGCGUGUAGGCUGGUUUUCCAGGCAAAUCCGGAAAAUCAAGGCUGAGGCGUGAUGACGAGGCACUACGGUGCUGAAGCAACAAAUGCCCUGCUUCCAGGAAAAGCCUCUAAGCAUCAGGUAACAUCAAAUCGUACCCCAAACCGACACAGGUGGUCAGGUAGAGAAUACCAAGGCGCUUGAGAGAACUCGGGUGAAGGAACUAGGCAAAAUGGUGCCGUAACUUCGGGAGAAGGCACGCUGAUAUGUAGGUGAAGUCCCUCGCGGAUGGAGCUGAAAUCAGUCGAAGAUACCAGCUGGCUGCAACUGUUUAUUAAAAACACAGCACUGUGCAAACACGAAAGUGGACGUAUACGGUGUGACGCCUGCCCGGUGCCGGAAGGUUAAUUGAUGGGGUCAGCGCAAGCGAAGCUCUUGAUCGAAGCCCCGGUAAACGGCGGCCGUAACUAUAACGGUCCUAAGGUAGCGAAAUUCCUUGUCGGGUAAGUUCCGACCUGCACGAAUGGCGUAAUGAUGGCCAGGCUGUCUCCACCCGAGACUCAGUGAAAUUGAACUCGCUGUGAAGAUGCAGUGUACCCGCGGCAAGACGGAAAGACCCCGUGAACCUUUACUAUAGCUUGACACUGAACAUUGAGCCUUGAUGUGUAGGAUAGGUGGGAGGCUUUGAAGUGUGGACGCCAGUCUGCAUGGAGCCGACCUUGAAAUACCACCCUUUAAUGUUUGAUGUUCUAACGUGGACCCGUGAUCCGGGUUGCGGACAGUGUCUGGUGGGUAGUUUGACUGGGGCGGUCUCCUCCUAAAGAGUAACGGAGGAGCACGAAGGUUGGCUAAUCCUGGUCGGACAUCAGGAGGUUAGUGCAAUGGCAUAAGCCAGCUUGACUGCGAGCGUGACGGCGCGAGCAGGUGCGAAAGCAGGUCAUAGUGAUCCGGUGGUUCUGAAUGGAAGGGCCAUCGCUCAACGGAUAAAAGGUACUCCGGGGAUAACAGGCUGAUACCGCCCAAGAGUUCAUAUCGACGGCGGUGUUUGGCACCUCGAUGUCGGCUCAUCACAUCCUGGGGCUGAAGUAGGUCCCAAGGGUAUGGCUGUUCGCCAUUUAAAGUGGUACGCGAGCUGGGUUUAGAACGUCGUGAGACAGUUCGGUCCCUAUCUGCCGUGGGCGCUGGAGAACUGAGGGGGGCUGCUCCUAGUACGAGAGGACCGGAGUGGACGCAUCACUGGUGUUCGGGUUGUCAUGCCAAUGGCACUGCCCGGUAGCUAAAUGCGGAAGAGAUAAGUGCUGAAAGCAUCUAAGCACGAAACUUGCCCCGAGAUGAGUUCUCCCUGACCCUUUAAGGGUCCUGAAGGAACGUUGAAGACGACGACGUUGAUAGGCCGGGUGUGUAAGCGCAGCGAUGCGUUGAGCUAACCGGUACUAAUGAACCGUGAGGCUUAACCUU